rnacentral:rRNA from 1 species
CAGCCGCCGCGGGAAUACGAAGGGGGCUAGCGUUGUUCGGAUUUACUGGGCGUAAAGCGCACGUAGGCGGAUCGAUCAGUCAGGGGUGGAAUCCCAGAGCUCAACUCUGGAACUGCCUUUGAUACUGUCGAUCUGGAGUAUGGAAGAGGUGAGUGGAAUUCCGAGUGUAGAGGUGAAAUUCGUAGAUAUUCGGAGGAACACCAGUGGUGAAGGCGGCUCACUGGUCCAUUACUGACGCUGAGGUGCGAAAGCGUGGGGAGCAAAUGGGAUUAGAUACCCCCGUAGUCCCUGUCUCUUAUAC